ensembl:lncRNA
ACUCCUAGCGUGGUUUCAGAAGUUUUAGCUAUUUCUUUCUCCUCUCUUUUGCUCACCAUUUAAAAACUACAGAUGUAAAAUGAGGUUUUAUGCUUCGUGUAUGGAACUGUUUGGUCAGGUGAGCUAGUCCCUUCUGGUAAAGUGCCUUAUUUUGGGUGUAGGACUUGCCAUACUGAACUUCCUGUAUUGAGAGGGUCUGUGUCAAAGACUAAAGAUCUCGGGGAAUGCAUCACAGUCUUGCUUCUGGAUGAUGGUGGCCAGCAAGAGUCCCUCAGCCUUGCUGUUAAGGAUAAGGGGACCUCUGAUGCAGUAGCCAUUUGAGAGGCUGAGCACACAGAUGUGAGACUAUGAAGCAGAGAAGGAAAGGCCCAAAACAGAGAGAGAACUGCAAAGCACAGGGAACUAUGCGGAACUUCCAAGAAAAGAUGAAGAAAGGACUGGUGUGUGCUACUUCACCAUGUAUCCUGCCCACGAUAGUUCCUUCGAGAUGUUACUGAAUUACAAGGUCUGAGAAAUCCCAACCACUAGCCAACAGAUCCCUAAGAACAGCAUCAAGACACAAAGGGAUGUGUUCUUCACUGUAAGUAAUUUCUCUUCAUUUCUCACAUUUUUUUUCACCUGUAAUUACCAGGUAAAAGAGCCAUCAAUGUGCUUUGGUUUGCAGCAUGUUUGGAAAGAUUUUAUGCAAAAUAAAGCCCUAGUCCAGAAAUCAGAAAUAUUUGGCUGGCCUUCAUAUCUGUGUGACCAUACUUUUGAUUUCAGUGGCUCUCUGCAAGGCUACUGGAAUACCUUCUCAUAUGUCAGACUACCAUUGGUCAACUAGUGAGCUUAUGAACACUGCACAUACAGAUUUGUACUGGUUAGGUUUUUGGAAGUGUUUCUAAGUAAAAUUUGUGUCAAGGAAUUGACAAAAGUAAUCUAUUCCACUCUGAAAACUCUAAAGUUGUACUCCUGCAACUAGGGAUUGUCAGGUCUGUUUGGGCCACUAAACUGUCAGACAUUCUGUUCACUGCUCUUAUGUCUCUCUUACUUUUGCGUCCUGUGAAGCACUGAAAAGAUGUUCUCCCCUCUCUUUUCAGGAAUUUUUUAGAGAAGGGGAAGGAAAGGGAUUAUUCUACAUUAGAAUAAUGGUGUUGUAGACACUGCCAGGGGAUGAUCUAGGCUGCAUCUUAACUUGAUUUCCCUGGGAGACUGCCAGUGGCAAGACUGCUUCCCCACCUGAAGUUUAAGGAAGGUGGGGAGAAUGGUUUCCAGAGAAAAGUAUAACAAGAUUAAAAAGAAGAAUCCAUCUGAAAGGAUCAUCUUCUUUCCUUCCUCCACUUCCCUGUUGAUCCUAUGACCAGGGACAGGACAGCUCUUCACUGUGACUUUUAUUCUUUCCCUCAUUGUUUCCCUCCUUUCACAGCCUUCUCUGAAGGGCUUGUUGCUGCAGAAUUGCAAGGAACUUCUAUAAAUCUCACACCUGCCUUUCAUCUGAGUUCUGCUGGUCUGACAAAUUGCUGUGAUUCAGAUACCUUAACAGAAGGUGUCCCAGGUGGCUGGAACACCACUGUCCUAACUGUACUGCCUUCCCUCAUUGUCAUCCCUCCCCACCUCCCUCCCCCCCCCGACUCUCUGCAGUUCUCAUGCUGCAGGAUCAGCACUCAGCCAUUGGUAGAGGAGGGAGACUAUAGGGAAUAGGCCUUUUAUCUACAAAAGGAAAAUUAAACCUGGUGCAGGGCACCCUGGUUGUCUAAAAAGCACAUCAUUCUGAUACUCUUGGCAGGCUUGGUAAUCUGUGAAUGGAUUUCUGAGGCUAGUGAUGCCUUGUGUUGCUGCAUGCAAGCCCACCAGACUUGUGGUGUCCUAGGGGAGAUUGUGUAUGGUACCACAGAAUGAAAAAUAAAUAAGUGCCACAGCUGAAACAGUGUUGGGUAGUAUACUUGGCAGUAUACUGUGCUUGUCCUCUUGCUUGCCUUGAUGCUAUUAAAGGAACACUUGUUUAUCAUGUCUGGGAAUUGCAUUAUCAAGUGUAAUGAUUAAUGGUCAGAUAAAGACAAAUGUCAGUUCAGGUUGGCGAGUUUUUGAAACGUGGUCCCUGGAGGUGUUCAAAGCCAAUCUGAAUGGGACCCUCUGCAUCCUGACCUAGUGCCUGAUCUAGCAGUUGGCAAACCUGCCCACAACAGGGGAUUUGGAACUAGGUGAUCUUGAAGGCCCCUGCCAUCCAAGCUACUAUAUGAUUCUGUGAUUACUGGUACACUGACAGACUACUUUUCUCCUUAUGUGUUGAAGGAAUUCAAGUGCUAUUAUGAGACCAAGUGACUUGUAGCCCUCCCUUCUCUUCACUUACUUAUGCUAUGUUAUGAUAGGCCAUUGAAUGCCAUGACUGUUACACAAUACAAGUGAUGCAAACAUGCAAGAAAAAAAAAUCCUCUUGUAAAUCCUCCAGUUUCUGCAACUAGAACUUAAAGGCAUCUUUUUAAAGGCUAGACAGAACUGAAGAGAACCAGAAAACUCAACAGACAUCAAUAACAUCGGUUUGGAUGGCUUAUAGUAGAGAUGUAGAAUACUUUUGACAUGUGAGAAAAGCCGCAGGAGAGCUCUCUCCAGUGCAGGAUUUACUGUCAAAGAAGUAUGUGGAAAGUAAUCUCUGCAGAUUUUCUGGUAACAGAGGUGUAUAAUGAUCAACAUAGGCAUGUCUGUGCAUUUCUUUCACUUACUUGCACAAAGAUAUGGCACUGUACUUAGUCCUUAUAUUCAGCCAUAUUCAAACAAUGCUCAAAGAGAUGUGAAAACAUCUAUAAAAAUCCUAACCAUGCACAUUUACAUAGCAAUUUUCUUGCAUGCAAAGACAGGUAGAGUUAUUUUUUUUAGGAAUUCACAUACAGUAAAAUACAGUAAUGACAUAUGCUGCCUGCCUUGAAUAAAUGAGUUGCUCCAACCUCAUGUUUUCUAAAGGUUAAUUACAAAACUCAUUUGAAUGUACCAAAUUCUGUUUCCAAAAUUCCUGUGUUCUGAGACCUGGAACUUGGCAGAUGACAUAAAUUUAUGAGUUUUUAUCUUGUGUUUGUUAUGUUAAUGAUAGGCGUCAGAAGUGCAAAGGUACAGAACUGCUUUUAAUUAGUGAAUAGGCUAGUGUGGUUUGGGACAUACUCUCAUUUUCAUAUGGCUUUGAGAAUCUCCAUACUGCUGUUCAUAUAACUGCCAGGCAAGGCUGCGGACUCUCUCGGGGUAUGUCAAUUUCCAUUGUACUGAUUGGCUGUUUGGAAUUGUUUUCAGACUUCUGCAGGUGUUUUGUGACAGAGCCAACAUGUAUGAGUAGGGGGGAAAAGUGAUAGAAACUGAUAUUGGAAACAGC